rnacentral:lncRNA from 1 species
CUGAUUGCUAUUCUCCAAGCACCUUUUCGUGGAGACAAAGAACUUGAUUGUUCACAUUAAAUCUGGCCGCCCAUUCCAUUUUCCCAAGUAAAAGAUGCAUUCAGCUAUGCAUGUAUUUUGAAGGUGACUAUUCGAUUAUGGCUGCACAUACACAAAGGCUGUUUAUUAUUGAAUUCAAAUUUUACAGCAAGAUGUGCAUACAUGUGGCAACAACUAGGAGCUUUAAUUUCCA